UACGAUGACGCUGGCGGCGUGCCUAAUACAUGCAAGUCGAGCGAACAGAUGAGAAGCUUGCUUCUCUGAUGUUAGCGGCGGACGGGUGAGUAACACGUGGGUAACCUACCUAUAAGACUGGGAUAACUCCGGGAAACCGGGGCUAAUACCGGAUAAUAUUUUGAACCGCAUGGUUCAAUAGUGAAAGACGGUUUCGGCUGUCACUUAUAGAUGGACCCGCGCCGUAUUAGCUAGUUGGUAAGGUAACGGCUUACCAAGGCGACGAUACGUAGCCGACCUGAGAGGGUGAUCGGCCACACUGGAACUGAGACACGGUCCAGACUCCUACGGGAGGCAGCAGUAGGGAAUCUUCCGCAAUGGGCGAAAGCCUGACGGAGCAACGCCGCGUGAGUGAUGAAGGUCUUCGGAUCGUAAAACUCUGUUGUUAGGGAAGAACAAAUUUGUUAGUAACUGAACAAGUCUUGACGGUACCUAACCAGAAAGCCACGGCUAACUACGUGCCAGCAGCCGCGGUAAUACGUAGGUGGCAAGCGUUAUCCGGAAUUAUUGGGCGUAAAGCGCGCGUAGGCGGUUUCUUAAGUCUGAUGUGAAAGCCCACGGCUCAACCGUGGAGGGUCAUUGGAAACUGGGAAACUUGAGUGCAGAAGAGGAGAGUGGAAUUCCAUGUGUAGCGGUGAAAUGCGCAGAGAUAUGGAGGAACACCAGUGGCGAAGGCGGCUCUCUGGUCUGUAACUGACGCUGAUGUGCGAAAGCGUGGGGAUCAAACAGGAUUAGAUACCCUGGUAGUCCACGCCGUAAACGAUGAGUGCUAAGUGUUAGGGGGUUUCCGCCCCUUAGUGCUGCAGCUAACGCAUUAAGCACUCCGCCUGGGGAGUACGACCGCAAGGUUGAAACUCAAAGGAAUUGACGGGGACCCGCACAAGCGGUGGAGCAUGUGGUUUAAUUCGAAGCAACGCGAAGAACCUUACCAAAUCUUGACAUCCUUUGACCGCUCUAGAGAUAGAGUCUUCCCCUUCGGGGGACAAAGUGACAGGUGGUGCAUGGUUGUCGUCAGCUCGUGUCGUGAGAUGUUGGGUUAAGUCCCGCAACGAGCGCAACCCUUAAGCUUAGUUGCCAUCAUUAAGUUGGGCACUCUAGGUUGACUGCCGGUGACAAACCGGAGGAAGGUGGGGAUGACGUCAAAUCAUCAUGCCCCUUAUGAUUUGGGCUACACACGUGCUACAAUGGAUAAUACAAAGGGCAGCGAAUCCGCGAGGCCAAGCAAAUCCCAUAAAAUUAUUCUCAGUUCGGAUUGUAGUCUGCAACUCGACUACAUGAAGCUGGAAUCGCUAGUAAUCGUAGAUCAGCAUGCUACGGUGAAUACGUUCCCGGGUCUUGUACACACCGCCCGUCACACCACGAGAGUUUGUAACACCCGAAGCCGGUGGAGUAACCUUUUAGGAGCUAGCCGUCGAAGGUGGGACAAAUGAUGGG
rnacentral:rRNA from 1 species